AUAUCAGAGGGGAAAAUCCUAGUAUUAUAAGAAAAGUGGAAGUGCAUAAUAGUUUGAAAGAGUUUGAUAGAAAGUUCUGAGGACUGAAAAGAACUUCUAUGAACCAAUGGUGCUAAAACAGUCUGAGGGAAAGUGUGAAGAAAACAAUUUGCAAUUAGAACCCAAGUCAUAGAACAAGUUUUAGGAACAACUUUCACACAAGGGGAUAUGGGUUGGGAACAUAGAUGGUACACCUUAAUGAAGCAUACAAACAAUAUGAUAUAGAGAGUGGUGGGGGUCCUACAUAUGAGCAAAAGAUCACAGCAGAAACAUGCUGAAGAUAUCUAAACCACACAACUAGAAUCACUUAAACAGAUUGACUGACUUAGUAGGAGUGAAACAGGACAGGUAAGGACUUUAAAUGAGCAUGAUGGGGAAGUAUUAACAAUGAAGGCAUGAUAAUUAUAUAGAACAUAGUUUAGAAAAGACAUUAGUUAGUCCAAAUAAGAGUAAGUCACAUAUGUAGAUAUAUUAAACAAGACAAAAAACAAGCAAGCGUAGUGGAAAUAUGCCAAUCACAAACUUGAGUAGGCAGGAUUUGUCCUGCUAGAUAAGCAGUGAACAACAACAAGAAUGGACAUCAGGCCACAAGAAAAAAAGUAGUAAAUAAACACAUAGGUUUGGUUCUAAUAAAUUAAUCUGAAGCAAACCUAGUUAAAGAAUGAAUGACACAAGAUGUGAGAAAGGUAGUGUGUAACUUUCAGCCUUGACUUGCAGCAGGCUAGAAUGACAGGGAUCACAAGUAGUAGAGAGAGAGAGAGAGAGAGAGAGAGAGAGAGGAAGGGAGGGAGGGAGGGAGCCAUUUAGAGUGUAAAGAGUAGUAGUUUUUAACUGUAGUCCUUUGUCAGAAGUGAGAAUAGAAGGGAAUGUACAUAGUAAUCAAAUGUUAAACAAAAUACGUAAGGGAUCAAUUAGGUAGUAAUUAGGGAAAGUCAUGGAAUCAAUCACAUGUAUAAUCACCAAAGUCUUCCAUUUCAUCAAGGGAUAGUAAAUCAACGGUAAAGCAGGUAAAGCAAGCCAGAUAUUUGAUGAAGGAAAUCUAGUACGGCUUAAGUACAGAAUAGGUAAUUAGGGGUGACUGAAGAGGAAUUUCAAUUAAGGAAACAUAAGAAUCAGAAAAAUAACAAAUAAAGCAAGGGAAAACUAAUUAAGGAAUGAAGCUCAAUCAAACUGAGUAGAGAGGUAAGAAUCAAAAGUUUUGUUAUGGAAAAGAGUUCAAAUCAAACCAGGAAAUAAGAACUUCACAGUAAUCAAGGGUUCAAUCAAAGAAAAAAUCAUGUAAAGAGUCAGCAAGUUUCGCAGACAAAAUGAAGUAAGAAAUGAACAGUCGGGAUUCAACACAAAACAAAUUGGUAAAUCAAGAAAAAGAUAUUGAUUUAAGGAGAAAGAUAUAUGUCUUAACACGAAUAGUAAAAUGAACAUAAAAAUAUAGAAUAAGUAAAAGAGUUGAACUAAGAAACUCAGUAGAGGAAUAUUAGGAUAAGAAAACCAUGAGACAUUCCAAGGGCUAAAGAGAAAUCACAAGAAACAAGGCAAGAACACAGUCAAUACACCAGUACUCAGAAAGAAAACAAAGAAUGUCAAAAAAUUACAGCUUUUAGUAUAAAUGGGUUAAGGUUGUAUCAAACUUACGAAAUCUGUCAAAACACAUAGGAAGCAGAAGAUCAAACACUCAAAAAUCAUCACAAAUUUUCGAAAACACAUUUCCGAAAAAAUUAGUUUAGAAAAAAUGGAAAAGUCAUUCGAAAAUCACACGAUUCUUGAAAAAAAAAACCAAAGGCUCUUGUAAAACUCAUAUGCUAUAGGUCCAAACAACCUUAGAUCUAUACAGAUCUAAGAAGUUCAGAAGAAAAAAAUUAGGGUUUUGAGAAGAAUAAUCACAAAGAUGAAGAUUCAAACCUAGAAACUAGAUAUAGGAAUAUCUCACACAGAAUCAAAGCACGACAGUCUGAAACAAAAUGACCAUAUAUGCAAGCAAAUCAUCCCUGGUCCCUUGAGGACCCUGAAGAUGGUGAUACCAGUACAAGAGAGCCUACCAAAAGGCUGGGGUGGUGAGGAACACCAUAAACAGUAGGAGACAAGAUGUGGGUAGGUAACGUUAGGGCUUGAGAGCUUUUGGAGAGGAGACGUAUUUCAGUAAGGCGGUUGAUGAGAAAUAACAGGGUUUG
rnacentral:lncRNA from 1 species